rnacentral:tRNA from 1 species
CGGGACGUAGCUUAGCCUGGUAGAGCGCCUGCUUUGGGAGCAGGAGGUCGUGAGUUCGAAUCUCCCCGUCCCGACCA